GCUGGUUCUGAGGACAGGAGGGGGAGACAGAGACGCAGACGGAGCUUCCAAGCCGAGACUGCAUAGUGCCCCUUGAGUAGGCUACAGUGAAUGCAGACUACACCACAACUAAAUAUUCGGCCCACAGAUCCAGAAACCAACCAGUUUCUUCUGUCCUGGAAUAACCGAACUGGGUUAAGUUGGACCAGAAAUCCCUUCUCUGUUCUCCUGGGCCCCAGACAGCAGUGACCCAGUGCAUGUCAGAAUAUCCUGGGAGCUACAGGGUUCCACAGCUCAGA